rnacentral:rRNA from 1 species
GACAAACGCUGGCGGCAUGCCUAACACAUGCAAGUCGAACGGACGGAGGAAAGAGAUCUCUUCGGAGUGACCUUUCCCGAGUUAGUGGCGGAUGGGUGAGUAACGCGUGAGUGACCUGCCCAACAGUGGGGAAUAACAGUGAGAAAUCAUUGCUAAUACCGCAUACCUUACAAGUGCUUCAUGGUACCUGUAAGAAAGACGGCCUUCGUGCUGUCGCUGUUGGAUGGACUCGCGUCUGAUUAGCCAGUUGGUGGGGUAACGGCCUACCAAAGCAAUGAUCAGUAGCCGGCCUGAGAGGGUGAACGGCCACAUUGGGACUGAGACACGGCCCAAACUCCUACGGGAGGCAGCAGUGGGGAAUCUUCCGCAAUGGGCGCAAGCCUGACGGAGCAAUGCCGCGUGAGUGAAGAAGGCCUUCGGGUUGUAAAACUCUGUCCUCAUCCAAGAGAAGGAAAGGUAGUAACUGGCCUUUCCAGGACGGUAGAUGAGGAGGAAGCCCCGGCUAACUAUGUGCCAGCAGCCGCGGUAAAACAUAGGGGGCAAGCGUUGUCCGGAAUCACUGGGCGUAAAGGGCGCGCAGGCGGUCUGUUAAGUCAGAUGUGAAAGGUUAGGGCUCAACCCUGAACGUGCAUCUGAUACUGGCAGACUUGAGUAUGGAAGAGGUAAGUGGAAUUCCUAGUGUAGCGGUGAAAUGCGUAGAUAUUAGGAGGAACACCAGUGGCGAAGGCGACUUACUGGGCCAUAACUGACGCUGAGGCGCGAAAGCGUGGGGAGCAAACAGG